UUGCCUGCAGUCCUUCAUGGCAUUAUUUCAUUGACCCCACAAUACAUACAGUUUCUGUACACUGCUGUGCCACAGGCCAGAGUGAAAAGGGAUUUCCAUACCAUAGCUGGAUUUCCUAAUGUCAUUGGAGCUAUUGACUGCACCCACAUCGCAGUAAAAGCACCAUCAUUGAACAAAUUCAACUUCGCCAACAGAAAAGGUUUCCAUUCUGUCAAUGUGCAGGUCAUCUGUGAUUCACAUUUGGCUUUGUUGAAUGUAGUGGCCAAGUGGCCAGGUGGGACACAUGAUUCAUUCAUUGUGCAGAACAGUUCAGUUGGCCUUAACCUCCAGGAAUGAGCUGUUGAGGAUGGAUGGCUUAUUGGUAAGUGACUUAUGUUUUAUUUGCAAGGUUUUAUUUGCCAUGUUUGACCUCUACUGGGAAACAAUAUCUGAAUGUUAUGUUCAUAACUGCAGGAAACCGGGGGUACCCAUUAAAAACAUGGCUGAUGACUCCCCUCACAAACCCUUCAAACCAACAAGAGGCAAGGUACAACCAAGCCCACGCAUGCACCAGAACUGUGGAGCGCACCAUAGGCCUGCUGAAAGGGUGUUGGCUCUGCUUGUCUGGGACAGGAGGCACACUGCAAUACCAGCCUAGCAAGGUUUGCUACAUUGUCAAGGCUUGCAGUGUGCUCCACAACACUGCAAUCAAAAAUGGCAUUCCACUGAAUGAUCUACCCAGACCCGGUGAGCCCAUGCCUGACAGGGAGUGUUUCCCACCACCCAUAGCCCUGGCACUGAGGACAAGAGUCAAUAUCAUACAACGGUUUUAGGACUGCGUCAGUCAAAACAUGCGGUGCAGCUGAAGCGCUCGCCAAAGAGGACACCCUUUUGGUAGGCCUGGGGAUGAGGGGUCAGGAAAAUCACCCACAUCUGUCAAGAUUUCAUGCUUUGUUAUUUUUGUUAUAUAUA